rnacentral:rRNA from 1 species
UACGUAGGGUGCGAGCGUUAAUCGGAAUUACUGGGCGUAAAGCGUGCGCAGGCGGCUUUGCAAGACAGAUGUGAAAUCCCCAGGCUCAACCCGGGAACUGCGUCCGAUACUGGAAGGCUUGAAUCCGGGAGAGGGAUGUGGAAUUCCAGGUGUAGCGGUGAAAUGCGUAGAUAUCUGGAGGAACACCGGUGGCGAAGGCGACAUCCUGGACCGGUAUUGACGCUGAGGCGCGAAAGCCAGGGGAGCAAACAGG